rnacentral:rRNA from 1 species
AUUGAACGCUGGCGGCAGGCCUAACACAUGCAAGUCGAGCGGAGAGGCGGACGGGGGGGUAAUGCCUAGGAAGCUGCCUGGUAGUGGGGGAUACCGCCGGGGAAGGGGAGCUAAUACAGCAGACUUUCAGAUGAGCUUAGGUGGUAUUAGCUAGUGGGUGGGGUAAAGGCUUACCAAGGCGACGAUCCGUACCCGGUCUGAGAGGAUGAUCAGUCACACUGGAACUGAGACACGGUCCAGACUCCUACGGGAGGCAGCAGUGGGGAAUAUUGGGCAAUGGGCGAAAGCCUGAUCCAGCCAUGCCGCGUGUGUGAAGAAGGUCUUCGGAUUGUAAAGCACUUUAAGUUGGGAAGCGUUACCUACAGAAUAAGCACCGGCUAACUUCGUGCCAGCAGCCGCGGUAAUAC